rnacentral:rRNA from 1 species
GCCCCGGUAAACGGCGGCCGUAACUAUAACGGUCCUAAGGUAGCGAAAUUCCUUGUCGGGUAAGUUCCGACCUGCACGAAUGGCGUAAUGAUGGCCAGGCUGUCUCCACCCGAGACUCAGUGAAAUUGAACUCGCUGUGAAGAUGCAGUGUACCCGCGGCAAGACGGAAAGACCCCGUGAACCUUUACUAUAGCUUGACACUGAACAUUGAGCCUUGAUGUGUAGGAUAGGUGGGAGGCUUUGAAGUGUGGACGCCAGUCUGCAUGGAGCCGACCUUGAAAUACCACCCUUUAAUGUUUGAU